rnacentral:tRNA from 1 species
GACGUGGCGCAGUUUGGUAGCGCGCCUGCUUUGGGAGCAGGAUGCCGCAGGUUCAAAUCCUGUCGUC